GACGAGCCACACGAACGUUAUUCGGAAUUACUGGGCGUAAAGGGCGCGUAGGCGGCCUGCUAAGUCGAACGUGAAAUCCCUGGGCUCAACCCAGGAACUGCGUCCGAUACUGGUUGGCUUGAAUCCGGGAGAGGGACGUGGAAUUCCAGGUGUAGCGGUGGAAUGCGUAGAUAUCGGGAAGAAUACCGGUGGCGAAGGCGUUCCGCUGGGCCGUUGCUGACGGCUGAGGCGCGACAGCGGUGGGGAGCAAACAGG
rnacentral:rRNA from 1 species